GACGCCAUUGUUUAAAUUAUUCUAGAAACUUUACUUAGGUUCUUACAGUUUUUCUCUUAAUUAAUUUAUAGCAAUUACUCUGGCAAUUAGUAAACAGUGAAAUUGGUAAUGGUAGCUUAAUGAGAGAGACAGGAAACAACAAAAUUGGACGGUGAUAUAAUAUGAAGCUGUUAUUCUGGGGCCAUUAGGCGCAAAGUUAAGAUGUUUUGAUGGCAGAAAAGGAAGGUAGCCACACACACACACACACACAAUUUUUUCGAUAUGAUGGGGCUUCACUACCUCUUCGCACUUUUAUUUUCCUGAUACACGUGGAAGAAUUUUGAACAAGUGAGAGUUAAAAUCAAAGAUCUAAAGAAGACUUACCCACUGCGGCAUUUCAUGAAUAUCAGCUGUACGGUGGUGGUAAUUGAGAACUACCACGGUCAAAACCACAGAGGAGGCAACCAUGAACAUGAUGCAGUUGAAAUUGCUCCAGAGUUCCACAGCCCACUUGAGCAGAGAACCAACUAUAGGCCUUAUUCCGAUCUCCGAACGUUGUAUUUGUAAAACUUAAAUAUAUACCUAAUGUAGUUAUACUUAUUUUCAC